ensembl:lncRNA
AAUUUGUAUCACGCAACUAAUUUUUUCAUAAACUGGGGGCACGCAGUAUGAAAUCUUCACAAAAGACACAAAUCAUUUCAACACACAGAAUCUAAACGUGAAAACAAUGACAUCAUUGCACACCAUUAAACUGUUAGUAGGAGUGUACAUCCAGUAAAUGUGAAUGGGAACAGAUGUAAUCCUCAUGAUCUGGUUGCUGUUUCUGUGUUUGUACGAGCUCUGGCCUUUGAGGUUGUGGCUGUGUGUGUGUGUGUGUGUUUCAUUUUGAUACACUUCGUGUUUAGUAAACCCACAGAGGCUGAUAUGUUAUGCAAAUGUUUACUAAGUUAUGUUUGCACUACCUGAUUUAUUACAGUUUUGUAACAUACUAAUCUACAUGUUUGUCUCUGUUGUUGUCUCUGCAGCCAACGGUAUGUACAUGGGAAGCCAAGAAAUGAGACUGGUUGUAGAAAGAGACAACGCAACUGUACGUCAACACCUCAGCAAGGGCACAAAGUCAUUCAUUAAAAAAAGUUCCUGGAGUUCAGCACAGCUCCCCUACCAGCGCCUGACAAUACCAUAUCCCCCUCUUCACCCGGUGUUGUAUGGAAUUUACAAUCACCUGGAAACUUCCUGAAUACUUGCUGGCAAAAAAAUGAGACAAAAUACAAACCCAACAAUGAUUCCGGAACCGUGGGUGAGUCAGACAGUCACUGAGGGUUCACUUUCAUGUGGAUGUCUGGGAAAGAAGAUUUGCUGCGGGAGUGCGGGACUGUUUUUUUUUUUCUUUCCAUCAAUACACUUUUUUUUUUUUUUAUCAUCUGAACAACAAAUGACAGUGAAAGACAGUGAAAAGAUACUAAGUGUGUUUACAUUUUGUUUUUACAUUACAGUUCGUUUUUUUAUAUAUUUAUUUCAUAUAUAAACCAGUAAACAAUAUAUCCAAAAGAAACAGAAAAGAAAGCAAUAUAUUGCAGAUAUUUACAUUUGAAUUAUGUACACUUCCUUAUCUAACAGUAUACAUACUCUCACAUACACAGUGCAUUUACAAUAAAAAGUCAAUAACAAAAAAGACAUUCUCCCAUUUUUUUUGUAGUAUAAAAUGAUAAUUUUCUUAGCCAGAUAAAUACACUAAAUGCAUUAAAUUAAGAAAAGCACUUUGGCAUGUGUACAAUAAUUUACACUUAUAUUUGAACCCUUUGUUCUAAUAAAACAAAUCAGUCACGGCUUUAUGGUCCCCUCCAUAUUUUUUUAAGCAACAUAUAUUUUACCAGCUUAAGUACAGUAAAGUAAAACAGAUGUCGGUGAAGGUAAGUUAACAUUGCUUAGCACUGAUCAGCAUGUAUAUUCGAGGGGUGCCAAACCCCUUAACUGAACCAUGACAGUCCUGCAGGCUUUGCAUUCAUUUCUCUGAGAGCACUUGGCAUAGUAAAUUGAAACUCCUUCUCUACUUAAUGUCUCCUGAGGCUUUUCACUUUAGUCAAAUAGCGAGGCACAACUGAGGUAACCCAUGCAGCGCUUAAGCUGAUAACCUCCAGACCUCCGAAAACCGACGCGGCAAAGGCACUCUUCAUGCUGCUUUAUCUCCUUGAACCAAAGAUGGCGUCCCCAAAUGUUAUUCUUUUCCAGCUAGGUGUGGUAUCAUGAUCAUGUCAAUACUGAAAUAAAGGCUGCUUAUAAAAAGAAUCAGAUUGUUUGGAGAAACUGCCUUGAGAGGAAUUAGAUUAAGGAGCAAGCGAACAUACGAUUGGAAUUGUCGGGCCAAAUGAAAUCAAUUUGUUUGAAAUGGAUGUUGAAGAUCUCAUUUUUGCUUUAUCUUUCCAAAACAGUCCUGUUCAGUCCUGCAGAACAAGACUUUGCCUCAGAGCAAAAACAGCUCUGCACAAUUUGAAUGGGAAAUCGAGAAAUACCGUGAGAGAUGCAACUGUUUUCAACAUAAUUGGAAAGGGCGAAUUGAAUUUACUUCUGCAGAAGUACUUACAAACAAUCAAAACAACAAGCUUGUAAACUAACGGUCACGACAGUAAUGUGCCGUAAAACCACACAGGAAGUUUUCAUCAGAUUUCGUGCCAUUAUAUUGUUCUGAACUGCACAGAUGCUCUGGCUAAUUCUUCUGUGGUCUGUUGAUUUAGGAAUGUAACUUUCAUACUGCCACCGUGGACAAUCUGGGUGAUUAUCAUUCCCAUACAAUGAGACCAACAUUGAUUGAGGGGAAUUACCAUGGAGAAAUGUCAAAAAAAGAAAAACAAUUGCUGUUCUGAAUUAAAAUCUGCUUUGUAUUUCUUCAUAGAGGAAACAGUUGAU